rnacentral:rRNA from 1 species
UGGGGGAUAUUGCACAAUGGGGGGAACCCUGAUGCAGCGACGCCGCGUGGGUGAAGAAGCGCCUCGGCGCGUAAAGCCCUGUCAGCAGGGAAGAAAAUGACGGUACCUGAAGAAGAAGCCCGGGCUAACUACGUGCC